rnacentral:rRNA from 1 species
UACAGGGGGUGCAAACGUUGCUCGGAAUUAUUGGGCGUAAAGCGCGCGUAGGCGGCGCGGUAAGUCGGGUGUGAAAUUUCGAGGCUUAACUCCGAAACUGCAUUCGAUACUGCCGUGCUUGAGGACUGGAGAGGAGACUGGAAUUUACGGUGUAGCAGUGAAAUGCGUAGAGAUCGUAAGGAAGACCAGUGGCGAAGGCGGGUCUCUGGACAGUUCCUGACACUGAGGCACGAAGGCCAGGGGAGCAAACGGG